AUUGAACGCUGGCGGCAGGCCUAACACAUGCAAGUCGAGCGGAUGAAGGGAGCUUGCUCCUGGAUUCAGCGGCGGACGGGUGAGUAAUGCCUAGGAAUCUGCCUGGUAGUGGGGGAUAACGUCCGGAAACGGGCGCUAAUACCGCAUACGUCCUGAGGGAGAAAGUGGGGGAUCUUCGGACCGCGCGCUAUCAGAUGAGCCUAGGUCGGAUUAGCUAGUUGGUGGGGUAAAGGCCUACAAAGGCGACGAUCCGUAACUGGUCUGAGAGGAUGAUCAGUCACACUGGAACUGGGACACGGUCCAGACUCCUACGGGGGGCAGCCGUGGGGAAUAUUGGACGAUGGGCGAAAGCCUGAUCCAGCCAUGCCGCGUGUGUGAAGAAGGUCUUCGGAUUGUAAAGCACUUUAAGUUGGGAGGAAGGGCAGUAAGUUAAUACCUUGCUGUUUUGACGUUACCAACAGAAUAAGCACCGGCUAACUUCGUG
rnacentral:rRNA from 1 species